ACUGAAUUAUAAUCAUUUGCUUAAGUGUCUUCCUGCCCCAGUAGUCCUUCUGAACCUGAGGGUGGGUUUCUGCCUUAUUGACAGCCCUAGAGCAUGGCACAGCAGAAGUCUGACAGGGUGAAUUCAGUGAUUAUAUGCUAAAAACAAUGCCUUUAUGACAUCACACGAUGCAAUGGGCAUCCGAGCCAGGGCUGCCUAGGUUUUUAUUUAAACUGUUCAAUUUAUUAUUUAUGUUAUUGAGCCCAUUGGAGACUCAGUUUGCCAUGUCUCUUCUAAGAUUUGAAAAAUACGCCUACACGGUUAAAAAGUUUUAACAAUCGUUUUUGUAAUUCAAAGGACCCCACACAGCUCAGAUAAUCAACACGAGUUACUGCACCCAAGAAGCUCCUUGCCUCAUGUGGCCUGUGUGCCCUGCAUGGUCCAGCUCCUGGAGAUGGCUACCACCUUCCUCCUGCUCCACGUGCUCUGGUCAUGCUGGAGCUUCCUCAGCAACAUUUUGUGCUGGCGAUACCCAUCGCAAGCCGCAGAGGACUUCGCUGGCCGUCCGUCAGAAUUGAAUUCAGUACUGGCUGCCAAGGCAAUGUGCUGGGCAUUUAUGCAAUGAGGUGGUGGCCAAAAAAGUGUGACACUUGAGGACUUUCAUUGCAUUGGAGCAAAAUUCACAUGGAAGUUGGGGAAUAUGGGAAAAAAAUAAAGCAAACCUAUUCACUGUC